rnacentral:lncRNA from 1 species
UUUUUUAAUCCAAAAAAUAUAGAAAUAAAGUGUUUCUGAAAAUGUCAUUUUUAUCAUUUUUCUGCAUGAACUGCAUUUUGUCAUGCUUUCUCCAAAUCUGAAAUAAAAAAUAUAUGUCACCGUGCUGGAUUCUAUGAUAAACGCGAUUUAUCCUAAAAAUUGCGUCCCCCCUUUGUAACCUCAACGUUAGCGCUAAAGUGCACGACGUCGCUGGCAGACUUUGUCGACGUAAUCGUUGCAAAUUACCGGCGACAUUUUUCAGAUGUAUAAAUAUUGCUUGUAAAGAGCUAACUAAAAAUUGGUAAUAUUGUUUUCGGAAAUAAAAUCAUGUGAAUCAUAAAUACAUCUCUUUGUUUGUGGUCUAAGUGAGAAACAUCCCAAGAAAAGUGAUUACGGACUGUUGAUAAUUUUUACGGCUUUUAAAAUUAAAGACUCGGCAAUUUAAAACUUGACAUACAGGUUACAUGUACUGUACACACUCGUGCAUUAAUUUAUGUAUUAAUUUAUAGCAUAUGUUGACCUCUAGAUGUUGUUUUUUUGUUUUUGUUUUGUUUUGUUUGGUUGGCUGCUAUUUCAUUACAAUACUCCUUUAAAUCCUUCUAUUCACGUUUUAAUCACUUUUUAGAAUUUCACAUUUAUUCAUAAAAUUAAACUUUUAUUCUAGUCAAUGAUUACAAUUGAAUAAAAUUGGGAGGCUCCUAAAUAUUAUAAAGUUCACAGUUUUUAUAGUUGACUAUGCGGUAUGGGCAUUGCUCAUUGUUGAAGACCGUACGGUGACCUAUAGUUGUUAAUUUCUGUGGCAUGUUUGUCUCUUGUUGAGAGUUGUCUCAUUGGAAAUUAUACCAUAUCUUCUUUUUUAUGUUGUCAGAAAACAAAAACAAAAUCUUAUCAAGGAAUAUGCUAAAGGAUGCUUUUGUCCAGAGAGAGAAACUAGACCAUAUUUUGAAAUUUUUGGAUUUCGCAAAAACGAUUGAAUUAAUAGCGAGAGGACAUAUUACCUAUGCGUAAUUUCAUUGGUAAAUAACUAUAUAUAUUUUCACCAAAGCGCGACGCAUUGCGGGGUACAUAAAAUAUUGCACGUUCAUUCCUCUGUCUGUCCUUUCGGUCCUUAUGGUUAAUUAGAUUUUUCAAGUGUACAAUUCUUGCCAAAUUUCUAUAAAACUGAUAUCGUAUGGACACGUUCGAAAAUCAGUGCAUAUCAACUAUUCUUUAAAAGAGUUAUGC